AUUUAGUGACCGAUAAUAAGUUGUAGCAGACGAAAUAUGUUUUUAAGAAAUUUCCCGAAAACUACGCGCUUGCUACGAUAUUUUACAAGUAAUCUUGAUGCACAAACUGCAGGAGAGAUAAAGAUGAUUCGCAUUUUGAGAAAUCGAUUUCCUGAAGCCUCCGAAAUCGAAGUUAAAGAUAUUUCUGGAGGAUGUGGUAGCAUGUUUGCUAUAUUUAUAGAAGACAAAGUCUUUGAAGGAAAAAAAACUAUAGCACAGCACCGACUAGUUAAUGAAGCACUCAAGUAUGAAAUCAAAGAACUGCACGGUCUUCGAAUUGUUACAACUGUUCCCAAUAAAGUCGUAUCAUAAGAAAAAUCAAGAUUCAAUAUUAUCCGGCAAUCUUUCCGGUAAUUUAUACUCAUCAGCACUUCCCGCAAAAAAAGACGGCUCGGCGUUUUGAGACACCCUAGGUAAUAACGGAGGUUCAAAGAAUAGAUUCUUUUUUUCCGAUUCUUCUGAGGCUGUUUUUCUGCAGCUGAUAAAACUUGGAAAAGGAUUCUUGUACAGAGUAGCUUUUUUUUUUAUCCUUUGAGGUAAUAGCUCUUCACUAAUUAGCCCAGAUGUCAAUUUACAAUUAAGAUCCCGAAUGUUUGUAAAAAACGCAUAAGACUCCUUCCCGUUUUUGACUGAAUCAUUUUUGCUGCUCAAUAUAGGCUUUGCAGAGUAUGAUCUUCGUUUCGACAAGUGAGCAAUCUAGAUUAUAGGGAAACGUUUAAAAGAGACUAAAGCACAAAUAUUUAGAAACACUAACCGGAAAAGUAGCAGGCGAAAUCUCCCCUCGCGCUACCCCGUCUUCAAUACUUUCCGGAGCUUCCUUUGGAAGAUUUUUUGCAGCAAGUAUUGCUGUUGCCAAAUUUUUUUCACUUAACCUCAUAGUAGAAGGAUAGUUUGCAGCGAAAUCUGCGCUCUUUUUUCUUUGUAAAGAUCUUUCACACUUGUAGCAAUGUCGAGAUCCAAGAAUUUUGCAAUAGUGCUGUUGCUCUAAUCGAGCUAGACAAGUCUUUGGUCUCUCUUUUCGAGAACAUCUCUCCACCAAUUCUCUUUUAUUGUCUUUAAAUUUGACUGUUUGCAGGUGAAUGAGCAAAUCGGCUGGUGUAAUAGGCUCCAUUCAGCAAAAUAGACAGUUGAAUUUCGUUUACACAAUUUCUAUCGAUUUGCCCAAACAAAGCUGUUAUUGAUUUUUCGAUAUUCAAUCGACUUUCGUUGUUUGCUUAAAACGUAUGAAGAACUUUGUUUUUUAGAGGCCUUUCUAUUUAACCAAGUAUACUUAAAUUUAUGAGAUAUUCACAUUAGAUUUACAUUCUCUAACAGUUACGAAUUGUUCGAGGAAGUAAGUUUGAAAAGAUUUACGUAAAUAAAUGGGACGAUACUUUGUAUGUGAGAUAUUAACGAAAGUACUAAAAAUAUUGAUGUUAAGAGAUAAAAUCUCUGGACAAAACCUAAUAUUUUAUAGACUGAUGAAAUUCAGUUGAGGGGAAAUAAAUUUAAUUUAUUUUUAAUAAAGGGUUUGUUAAAUAUUGCUGCAGUUUACAAAUAUAAUCAAUAUACUGUAGAUAAACUUGUACACAGUACAUAGAAUAGUGUUCGUUAAAUGAAAAUAUUCAAGUCUGAAGCAGGAAAAUUUCCUAUUUGUAAAUGGAUAUGACUAAAAUUUUAGAACGUCCUUUCUGUUUCGUCAUCUCCCUGAUAUACAAUAUGAAUAGCUGUAUCUUUUUGGGGAGGCUCAUCCUCAUGAACUAUAACAGGUGUUGGUGGUCUUUCCCCCUUCUUAUUUACUUCCUCGAGCCACUCAUAUAUUCUUCUUUUUUGAUCAGAUUCAAUGUGGAGAGAAUUUUCGUUUUUCUCCACCAAAAAGUCGGGCUGUGACUGAGAGUGUUUAAGCCCUUUUUGUUUAUUUUGGGUACCGCCAGCCCGACGUGCAACAUGGCUUUUAUGUAAAGACUGUUCUGAUGGAUAUUUAGUUAGCUGGACAUUCCUGCUUGUUUUUUGAGUGAGUGUUGUAUUCUGCCUUUCCAUUCUUGCGAGAUUCGAGUUCGAUGGUGUUCUCCUGACAAUCCUUUUAGGAGACUGUUUCCUGGAUAGUGAUGAACGUCUCCCAUUUGAUUCAACUAAUUUUCCUAUUUGACCACUUGAUAAACCAGAUGCAGGACGGUUAUUAAUAGGGGGUAGAGCUUCUCCGCAAUUUCCAAUCCCAAGACUUACUGAUUCGUCCGAGACGGUUGUUCCCCGGCCAUUCAAGCGAUGAAAAGACUCGUCGUGAGAUGAGUGAGAGGAUAAUUUUGAGUCGAUUUUUU
rnacentral:misc_RNA from 1 species